AACGAACGCUGGCGGCAUGCCUAACACAUGCAAGUCGAACGAGACCUUCGGGUCUAGUGGCGCGCGGGUGCGUAACGCGUGGGAACCUGCCCUUAGGUUCGGAAUAACUCCCCGAAAGGGGUGCUAAUACCGGAUAAUGUCUUCGGACCAAAGAUUUAUCGCCUUUGGAUGGGCCCGCGUUGGUUUAGCUAGUUGGUAGGGUAAAAGCCUACCAAGGCGACGAUCCAUAGCUGGUCUGAGAGGAUGAUCUGCCACACUGGGACUGAGACACGGCCCAGACUCCUACGGGAGGCAGGAGUGGGGAAUAUUGGACGAUGGGCGAAAGCCUGAUCCAGCAAUGCCGCGUGAGUGAUGAAGGCCUUAGGGUUGUAAAGCUCUUUUACCCGGGAUGAUAAUGACAGUACCGGGAGAAUAAGCUCCGGCUAACUCCGUG
rnacentral:rRNA from 1 species